AUGUUCAGCCUCACUGCUCAUCAGGGAAAUGCAAAUCAAAAUCACACUGACAUGCCCUUCCACACCCGUCAGGACAGUUACUAUAAAAGGAAAACAGGUGUCCGCGAGGAUGUGGGGGAAGUGGAACCCUCGCACCCUGCUGACGGGAGUGCGCACUGGGGGGGCGCCGUGGACAGCAGUGUGCUGUGUCCGCAGAAGUUACCAUGUGACCCAGCAAUUCCACUCCGAGCCUCCCCGAGCCCCGAGCUCCGUGGCUGUGCCUCCUGGAGCGGCCACAAGGCGCUGGACGUCCAGACCGAGAUGUGCGCUAAGUGGAAAACACACAGUGGGUGUCAAAGAUGGCACCAAAAAAAGAUGCGGGGCUCCAUCCCACCACCCUGUGUUCGUGACCUGAGCCGAAAUCGAGAGUCGGACCCUGCACUGACUGCGCCACCCCGGCGCCCCUCUCUUCACCCUUCUAACGUGGCUGCAGGAAGGCUUAAAAUGCCAUCCAUGGGCGGAAUCCUGUCGCUGUUGGGCGCUGGAGUUCUGGACCAUCGGUUCCAGGCUUCGGGAUUUCCGGGACAAGCAGGGUCCCCCAAGUCUGACUACCAGCCUUCCGCUUCGCUGAGCGAGCACCAUUGCACUGGGGAUGGGUGUUCUGACUCCAGAGAGAAGGAGGCCAUCGCCAGACUAGAGAGCCGAGAACCACUCCCCGCUGCCCCUGAUUCGUUUCCUCGCUGCCCCGUGGGUGCCGGCCGGGCCCAAGGCAGGGGGGCUCUCCGAGGAGCCUCUCUUGUGAAUGCACACAGGUGUUUCCAGACCCACGCCAGAGGCUCCCUCACCGAGUUCCGGUAAAGGGUGUGGUGUGGGCACAUGAGACUUUUCCUUGUGGCAACAUGAACCACACUCAGACCAUCCACCUGACAUGGGACAGAGGUGAGUAAAAGCAGCCAAACGCCAGCCGUCAGAAAGGCAGCUCCGGCAGCGGGGAGGUCUCUGUCCCCCAGUCCCCUCCUCGCACGUCUGUGUGCUUUCCAAAACUGUACGAAACUCUAACAGUUCCAUAACUACUUCUUCGUGUUGCUCAGGACAGCAUCUUCCCGCGUCAUUACAUUGGCUCCAACGGUCGUAACAGCGGCUUCGCGUCCCUUGUCUGAUCGCCUGCGGUACUACUGAACUCAUGCUGGAACAUUCUGAAAGUUUUCCGAGGUCUUAAACACAAUCUUGGUAUACCUGCUGGGCCCUCUUGGGAGCAAAUGUGUGCCUCUUCCCCAAGCCCCCACUGCUGGCCCUGAGCCAGCCAAAGCACUGUCCCCACGGCCACUCUCAGCUUGUCGCAUCCCGCACGCGCACUUCCUCGUGAAGUUUCUCACCAAGUGCAUCUCUCCCCGUGGGAGUGUCGCAGAAGUCUGCCACUGUUACAACGGACCCGUAAGAGCACUGCAUGUCAAUAUAAAAACGUCCCCCUGGGGCGCCCGGCUGAGUCGCUGGAAUGUGUAACGCUUGAUCUCUAGGUCGUGAGUUCGAGCCCCACGUUGGGCGUAGAGAUGACUUAAUAAAAUAAAAUAAAUAAAUAAAAAACCUUUUCCUGUAGGCUACGAUUUCCCAUUUCAUCAUUUGCAUUGUCCUUUCACUCAUGGGUGGGGUUUGUUUUUUUUUUUUUGAUGAGAGAAUUAUGCUUUUCAUGUAACUCUGUCUCUAUAUAAACACACAUAUACACACGCACACAUUUUCCUGUUGUAUUUUAUGCCUUGCCUUUAUGGUUAAAAACAUUUCCCAUCACUAAGGUAAUAUAAAUAUUUAUGUAUAUAUUAUUUAACGGUUUUCUUUUAUACUGAAUACUCUUAUCAACCUAGAAUAAUUUUGGUAACAUAAUUAAGUUGGUAUUGCCAGGUACCUAGCAAUUUAUCCCAGAAACAUUUACGGGAAGAGCAAUUUUUUUAAAGAUUUGAUUUAUUUAUUAGAGAGAGAGAGUGUGAGAGAGAAAUCACGAGCUGGGGGGAGGGGAGAGGGAGAAGCCGGCUCCUUGCUGAGCAUGGAACUUGGAAUCUGAUGUGGGACUCGAUCCCAGGACGCCAGGAUCAUGACUUGAGCCGAAGUCGGAGCAGUUAACCAACUAAACCACCAGGUGCCCCCAUAAUGCUUUUAUUUAUUUAUUAAGAUUUUAUUUAUGUAUUUGUCAGAGAGAGAAAGCACGAGCAGGGGGAGGGGCAGAGGCAGAGGGAGAAGCAGGCUCCCUGCUGAGCAGGGAGCCCAACCCGGGGCUGGAUCCCAGGACCCUGAGAUCAUGACCUGAGCCGAAGGCAGACACUUCACCCAUUGAGCCCCCCAGGUGCCCCCGAUAAUGCUUUUAGAAGGUGACGUAGGACAGUGCUUUUUUAUGAGUUGAGGGCAGGAAGGUCUUCUUAGGUCACAGAAACAACCACAAAAGAAAAACCAAUAUGGCGGAGUCCACCAAAAGUUAACAGGUCUCCUCAUCAAACCACAGUCUGUGGGAAAACUGCAGAACUUGUGUCUGGCAGAGGCCUGGGACCUGGGACCUCUAAGGAGUCCUACAUCUUAAUAAUAUAAAGGCCGGCAGGCCGGGUGAAAAAUGGACAAAAGAUGUGAUGGAAUCCAUCAGGAAAACAAAGCCAUAGGACACAUGAAUGAGAAAGACCAGGGUGGCCAGCUCAUGCACAUGUGGCCAGUGGAGGUCACUUUGGGGAAAAGUCUGAAGCUUCUCUCUCUUUUUUUUUUUUUUAAGAUUUUAUUUACUUAUUUGAGAGAGAGAGCAAGCGAGCAUGAGCAGGGGGAGCCGCAGAGGAAGAGGGAGAAGCAGGCUCCCGCUGAGCAGGGAGCCCGACGUAGGACUCGAUCCCAGGAGCCCAAGAUCACGACCUGAGCCUUAGACAGACACUUCACCGACUGACCGCCCAGGCACCCCUGUCUGCAGCUUCUUCUCAAAGCACAUGAACCUGCCCCUCCUUCCCUAGACACUCACCCGAGAAAUGUAAAGACCUGUAGACACAAAUGCUUGAUCAGACUUCAUGGCAGCUUCAUUCAUAGUUGUCAAAAAUGGGUAACAGCUCAAAUGUAGGUGGACAGGUGAACUGCAGUCCGUGCACAUGGGGUCGGCUUCGGGCAAGGGGGGAGCAAACACAGAUUCUUUUUUUUUUUUUUUAAAGAUUUUAUUUAUUUAUUUGACAGAGAUAGAGACAGCCAGCGAGAGAGGGAACACAAGCAGGGGGAGUGGGAAAGGAAGAAGCAGGCUCAUAGCGGAGGAGCCUGAUGUGGGGCUCGAUCCCAUAACGCCGGGAUCACGCCCUGAGCCGAAGGCAGACACUUAACGACUGAGCCACUCAGGCGCCCCAAACACAGAUUCUUAAAACAGGGCUGAGUCUGCUGUGCGAGCCCACUUACCUGAUGUUCCCGAGCUGGCCAGACUCGUCUAUGGUGGGAAAGUGGGUGCCCCGCCACAGGUACACAUGGCAGGAGCUUGAGGGACCAACUGGAUGAACAGUAAAUGGAUGUGAUGUCCAUGGUCUCGGUGGGAUAGAGGGUUGGAGGACAUUAUCUACAUAAAGAGGAAAGCCUGAAACCAUAAAAGGCUCUAAACUCCAGGGAACAGGCUGAGGGUUGCUGGAGGGGCCAGGUGGGUGGGAGAAGGGGUAACUGGGUGAUGGGCAUGAAGGAGGGCACGUGAUGUGAUGAGCCCUGAGUGUUAUAUGUAAUUGAUGAAUCACUAAACUUGACCUCUGAAACUAAUAAUACACUGUAUGUUAAUUAAUUGAAUUUUAAUUUAAUUUAAUUUAAUUAAAAAAAGAAGAAGAGGGGCACCUGAGUGGCACAGCGGUUAAGCGUCUGCCUUCGGCUCAGGGCGCGAUCCCAGCGUUCUGGGAUCGAGCCCCACAUCAGGCUCCUCUGCUAUGAGCCUGCUUCUUCCUCUCCCUCUCCCCCUGCUUGUGUUCCUUCUCUCGCUGGCUGUCUCUAUCUCUGUCAAAUAAAUGAAUAAAAUCUUUAAAAAAAAAAAAGAAGAAGAAAAAAGUCUGUGGAUGGAUCCCAAGCUUAGUCAACGAUGUGGGUGUGAGGCUACUGGGCUACUGGGGAACGUGCCCCUAGAGGAGUAAGUGAGGGGAGCUUUCCGCCACAGAGAUACAGCAGGGCUGGUGAGCUCCAGGCAAGAUUCAAAGGCGUCCACGUGAAAUCCUAUGUGCUCUGCCAUAGGGUUGAGCAUUUUUGCAGGGUGAGGGGCAGUGGGAGAUCCACUCAGUUCUGAUGACAAACGUGAGUGAACAGGACAGGAUCCUGAGACGCCCAUGGCAGGAGGCCAGGAGCUCACUGCCCAUCGGAAGGGGGACAUCCCUCCCAAAGGGGGCGGUCACCAGUGUGGACAGGUGAACACCUCCCCGGCUUCCUCCAGGCCUGUGCCCGCCCAGUAAGUGUGCUUGGAAAUACCUGCUCCUGGCAUCCUGCCAACCCCUGGGCCGCCCGCGGGAAUGCAGGUGACUUAUGGAAACGUGACAUCCUCCCCAAGGGGAGCCUUUACAAGUGGAUGCUUCG
rnacentral:lncRNA from 1 species